AGCAGCCGCGGUAAUUCCAGCUCCAAUAGCGUAUACUAAAGUUGUUGCAGUUAAAAAGCUCGUAGUUGAACUUCGGGGUUUACCCAUUGGUCAGGCUUAAUUGUCUGUACUGGUGAGAUGAAUCUCUACCUUCUGAGGAACUUUUAUGCCAUUUAGUUGGUGUGAUAGGAAAUCAGGACUGUUACUUUGAAAAAAUUAGAGUGUUUAAAGCAGGCUAACGUCUGAAUACAUUAGCAUGGAAUAAUGAAAUAGGACGGAUUGGUUCUAUUUCGUUGGUUUCUAGGAUCACCGUAAUGAUUAAUAGGGGUAGUUGGGGGCAUUAGUAUUCAAUUGUCAGAGGUGAAAUUCUUGGAUUUAUUGAAGACUAACUAUUGCGAAAGCAUUUGCCAAGGAUGUUUUCAUUAAUCAAGAACGAAAGUUAGGGGAUCGAAGACGAUCAGAUACCGUCGUAGUCUUAACCAUA
rnacentral:rRNA from 1 species